CUACGGGUUGCUGCAGUGAGGAAUUUUGCGCAAUGGGGGAAACCCUGACGCAGCAACGCCGCGUGAGUGAUGAAGGCCUUCGGGUCGUAAAACUCUGUCAAGUGGGAAGAACCUAUGUAAGGUUAAUACCCUUAUGUACUGACGGUACCACUGAAGGAAGCACCGGCUAACUCCGUGCCAGCAGCCGCGGUAAUACGGAGGGUGCAAGCGUUAUUCGGAAUUCUUGGGCGUAAAGGGCGCGCAGGCGGUUUUGUAAGUCAGAUGUGAAAGCCCGGGGCUUAACCUCGGAAGUGCAUUUGAUACUGCAAGACUUGAGUAUGGGAGGGGGAAGUGGAAUUCCUGGUGUAGAGGUGAAAUUCGUAGAUAUCAGGAGGAACACCAGUGGCGAAGGCGACUUCCUGGACCAAUACUGACGCUGAGGCGCGAAGGCGUGGGGAGCAAACAGGAUUAGAUACCCCGGUAGUC
rnacentral:rRNA from 1 species